GGUAUUGCGCCGGACGAACGGAUAACUCUGAUGACGUUAAUUAUGGAACACUUCCCUAUACCU
rnacentral:tRNA from 1 species